rnacentral:misc_RNA from 1 species
GAUGAAGAACGUAGCGAAAUGCGAUAAGUAAUGUGAAUUGCAGAAUUCAGUGAAUCAUCGAAUCUUUGAACGCACAUUGCGCCCCUUGGUAUUCCGGGGGGCAUGCCUGUCCGAGCGUCAUUUCAACCCUCGAACCCCUCCGGGGGGUCGGCGUUGGGGAUCGGCCCUCCCUUAGCGGGUGGCCGUCUCCGAAAUACAGUGGCGGUCUCGCCGCAGCCUCUCCUGCGCAGUAGUUUGCACACUCGCAUCGGGAGCGCGGCGCGUCCACAGCCGUUAAACACCCAACUUCUGAAAUGUUGACCUCGGAUCAGGUAGGAAUACCCGCUGAACUUAAGCAUAUCAAUAAGCGGAGGA